CUUCCACUUUAGCCUUCCCUGUGUCCUGCAGUUGAGGGCAGCUCAAGGCAAUGAGGCAAAUGGCUCCAAACCACCCCAUGGUGGAGCCGGUGCUUGGGCUGGAGAGGGGACCUCAUGGGGUGGUUCUCCAGGGUCCUGGCUCUCAGAGGAAGUGCCGCUUCGACAGGGACAGGGGUCACUCGGCUCUGCUGUCCCCUAGAUCCAAGGGAAGGGCUUCAACUGUCCGCUGCUGGUGAAGGACUUCAACCUGCUUUGCUGGCUUGGCGCCAACACCUUCUGCACCAGCCACUAUCCCUACACAGAGGAGAUGCUGCAGAUAUGUUACCGGUAUGGGAUUGUGGUCAUCGAUGAGUGUCCUGCUGUGGGCCUGAUGCUGCCAUGAGUCCCUGCUGUGCACCCGCUCUGCCUGGCCAGCCCUCGGGCCACACCGUGACCCUCUGUCCCUUCCCUCCUGGCCCGCUGGCAACUCUUCAACAACGUGUCUAUGCAUCACCAUAUGUGGGUGGUGGAGGAACCGGUGCUCAGAGACAAGAACCACCCCGCCAUGGUGAUGUGGUCCUUGGCCAAAGAGCCUGCGUCCUUCCUGGAAUCUGCCGGCUACUCCUUCAAAUUUGGAGUCCAGCCUUCCACACCUGAUCUUAUACACCAGCCUCGCUUUACAUCAUGCUGCAAAAUCCUCAGACUGGGAAAGAAUAAGUGUCCCCGCAAAACUGCAGCACAAAAGAAUUUCAGAUCCACCCACUCAGAAGUCUGAAGCCAGUGUGGCUCGCCCUCACUGAUCUCAGGGUCUGCAUUUGCAAUGUACCAAGACAGACCUGAUCAUAAAACCAAUAACAAAGAAUGUCAGAAGUCUUUUACAUGGAAGAAGAAAAAAAUGCGAGCAAGAAGGCCUAAGAAAGGAGAGGUUUCAAUAGACGGUACACUCGGUUGUUCCCUUAGACCACCUUUGUUAGUCUUCGCCUCAAAGAAAAACAUUUCCACUGAAAACCACAUAAUCUGGUUUAACAGAUUAAAUAUAUAAACUAUGAUGUGC